rnacentral:antisense_RNA from 1 species
GUCUUAUUUCUUAGUAUCUGCAACCAGCUCAGAGCCAGGGAUAAGUCAAGAUUCCACCAGCCCAUGUAUGGCUGCCCGGCUGCCCCCAGCCUUGCCCUCAGUUCUUCCCCAAGGGCAUGUCCUGUUGAGAGCCGGUUUCAUCUGUUCAGUGUGGCCUGAUGGCCCAGCACCCAGGAGCUCUGCGCACCCUGCCGCCAUGGGCCAUCCAUCCCCAGAUCUCUUCCCACAGGGUCACUGCGGUCCACUGUCCUGCCCUCGGGGAAUCUCGGCCUCCCUCUCACAGGUGCACACAUGGGGAGCAGCCAAGGAUUUCUGCAGAAAAAUUCACUCCAGGGGUCAGCAGCUAGAAGCGCAAAUGGAGAGUGAGUGAGCACGAGCGCCUCGUGGACUCAGCCCUCCCAGGCCCAGAACCAAGCGCCCACAGACACCCCUACACGGGCAGCAAGGGCUGGAACCGGCAGCCUGGUGGACAUCCGCCCUGCAGGGCUCUCCCUCACAGAGACUGCAGAAGAGGGUGUGCAGUGCUCAGCGCAGAAGGAUGUUCUCCCUGCUUUUAAGGAGCCGUGACUAUUUUGCUCAGCACCCCGGCGUGCCUUUCUCUGUACAAGAAGGAGACUUAGCAGCUUCCCCAUCCCAUUACCACAGCUGGGCGGCUUCUUGCAUGAGGGCACCUUGCUGACCUGAGUCACCCCAGGCUGCCCUAGGCUCCUUGUGCACUGAGAUGCUGAGUCCUGAGGUGCCUUCCAGCACCAGUGAAUGGGACUAAAGUCUUCUGCAGUGUUGCGACCAUUCUGAAGCGAGUAUUCCGUGGUCAUCUGUAACCCUCUGUGAAGCUCAAGAAGCAGGGAUUCAGGAAGCUGAAUCCUUCAGGACCCUGAUUCAGGGUCCCAGGAAGCUGACCAGGGACCACUGCGUUCUCUGCCCAUGCACAGAAGCUCUGCACUUGGGCCCCAAAGCCUGAGUAAAGUUUUACCUUGAACUUCUUCCAGCAGGAUAAACAGUAGGGUUCAGUGCUGAGGGUCUGCAGUUUAAACCCUGAUUCCACUACAAAAUAAAUGCUAGACUGGGCCACAUAUUCAAGCUGUGUUUUCCUUAAGCUUAAAAUGGCUGUAAAAUCCCUUCCAGAGGCCAUGCAGGGAGAUAAUGCCCACAGAACGCUCGGAGUGGGGCUUGGCAGAGACAGGACUAGACAGGGGCUGUUAUUUAGUGCUGGCAUCUUUUAUUGGUGGCGAUGUUAUUUUAUUUUCUAUGAUUAUGCAAUUUCCUCCUUAUAAUCUCACCUUUAUUGCUUAUCUUAGAGUGAGGUUUCAGGAGCAACAGCAUCAAUGUAAUGUUUGAUAUUCUGGACAAUCUAACCCAAGCAAUUUCUAAUUCAUAAUCCACUAUUUGUAUUUGUUGAUUAUUUGUUUAUAAUAAAGAAAGGAAUACUUUGUCACUUUUCCACAAUCUGCCACCAACCUCAGAUAUGCUUUCAUGAAGCUUAUCUUCAAUUAAGGCCCAUGUGCUUUAUUUUUGUGAAAAAUGGAGAUGUGAAGACAUUCUGUGCUCUGCUAGGCUGUGUCCUGAGAACCCCCCUUUUAAAAAGGUUCUCAGUAUUGUAGGUGUCACUUUUUUCCAUUAUAAAUCACAAACUGUAGCAGCCAGUUAACAAGACACAGGUGUUGCUCCCCUGAAAGUGCCUGCAGAAUGGUGCAGAGGUUCUCUCCUCAUCCAUAGCUCUUGCGCAUGAUUUAUUCCUGCUGCCCGCCUUCCGGGAGUCCACCAGGCUCACGUCUGUGUCUGUGGAGGCGUGUGUGAACAUGUGCGUGUGAGGGUACAUCCAGUCUUCUACCAGCUAAUACGUCAGAGACCAUAGAAUGUUAGGCUGGAAGAGACCCUAAAGGUUAUAUAAACCAGCUCCCUUAUUUUAGAGCUGAGAAAUUUCAGGUGCAAAGAAGGGAGAGGCUAUAACAUGGUGGCACUAGAGUAAGACUGCUGGGUUUGAAUCCUGGUGCAACUACUUAUUACCUGUGUGAUCUUGGGAAAGUGACUUAACCUUUCUGGGUCACAGUUUGGGUAUCUAUCAACGGCAGAUAUUAACAGUCUCUAUUUGUGUGGAUAUUUUAACAAUAAAAUUAAAUCAUUCAUGUAAAGAACUUAAAAGACUCUCAGACAGGUUGUGGUGAGCUAUGAUUGUACCACUGCACCCCAGCCUCCUGUAGCCUGGGCAAAGGAGCAAGACUGUCUCU